UUACACUUCUAUCUAUCUCAUUUCAAAACUCAAUUUCUCUCUCCGGAAAUAAACUUUGUCACUCUCUCUCUCGUAUGCUUCACUGUAUCCUCAUCUUCAACCCAUUCAAACAAGCAAAAGGCUUCCAUGAAAUGUUCCAUAUCCAUAAUACUCUUUCUUCCUCUUUCUAUACAUCUUAACUGCAUCUUGACGAUGUUCUUCUUCUUUCUCAUUUUGUUCCGUCUUCAAAAUCCCAUUUUCUUUUUCUUUUAUUUCUCGAUCCAUUUUCUACAUUGGAAACGGCCGAGGGUAACUUCCGAGAAGAUACAAGCAUUUGAACCUAAUUUAAAGGUUUUGCGAAGAUAUUUAUGA